AAAGUUAACCAUAGAUUUUGCACCUAGAAAAAUGCACCACAAAGAUUUUGGAUCAGCACUACAAUCUCAAAUUGCCUCACAUUCAUACCUCAGCUUCCAUCUCCAAAGGAGAAUAAGAGAAUCUGAAAACACAAGUAAGUUACAAGCAGAAAAGCGCUCUUUGUUUCAAAAGUAGAUCAAAGCAGAACCACCCCAUAAAACAGCAAACUUGCAUCAAAAGUAAACAAAAAGUUUAUGCAAAAGCUUCAACCUUUUCCUUAUAGUAAAACGGCUGCUCUGUUCAUAAAAAACGGAACAAACGCAUUUGGUUAAUUGGGUUUCUAUGCCUCCCCAAACACCAGGCACACUCAUGGUAAGAUUCAUCUUACCAAAUAAAAUAUGUCUCUCAUGAUAUUAAAAAUAAAUAAAUAAAAAUAAUUUUUAUUUAACUAAUAUUAAAAUAAAAUAAUCCUACACUUACAAAAAAAAUAAGUAAAAAAAAAGUUUCCUAAAAAUUUUUUAGUAAAUAAGAUUUUUCAUAUAAGUUAAAAUAUAUAUUUGUUUAAAGAAAUUAAGUAAAAAAUUAAUAAUUCUACAAGAAACAGAACAUUGAACAAAUUGUAAUCAACUCAAAUAAAAAAAUCUAUAUAUAUGCAUAUGAUAAAAUUACCAUAAAAAGCGAUAGAAGAAGU
rnacentral:misc_RNA from 1 species